rnacentral:rRNA from 1 species
UACGUAGGGUGCAAGCGUUAAUCGGAAUUACUGGGCGUAAAGCGUGCGCAGGCGGUUUUGUAAGUCUGUCGUGAAAUCCCCGGGCUUAACCUGGGAAUGGCGAUGGAGACUGCAAGGCUAGAGUUUGGCAGAGGGGGGUAGAAUUCCACGUGUAGCAGUGAAAUGCGUAGAGAUGUGGAGGAACACCGAUGGCGAAGGCAGCCCCCUGGGUCAAGACUGACGCUCAUGCACGAAAGCGUGGGGAGCAAACAGGAUUAGAUACCCUGGUAGUCCACGCCCUAAACGAUGUCUACUAGUUGUUGGGUCUUAAUUGACUUAGUAACGCAGCUAACGCGUGAAGUAGACCGCCUGGGGAGUACGGUCGCAAGAUUAAA